rnacentral:rRNA from 1 species
UACGAAGGACCCGAGCGUUAUCCGGAUUUAUUGGGUUUAAAGGGUGCGUAGGCGGAAUAGUAAGUCAGUGGUGAAAUCCUGUUGCUUAACAACGGAACUGCCAUUGAUACUGCUAAUCUUGAGUACAUAUGAUGUGGGCGGAAUGUGCCAUGUAGCGGUGUAAUGCUUAGAUAUGGCACAGAACACCGAUUGCGAAGGCAGCUCACAAAACUGUUACUGACGCUGAGGCACGAAGGCGUGGGGAUCAAACAGG